GUGCCAGCCGCCGCGGUAAUACGUAGGUGGCAAGCGUUGUCCGGAUUUACUGGGCGUAAAGGAUGCGUAGGCGGAUAUUUAAGUGAGAUGUGAAAUUCCCGAGCUUAACUUGGGAGCUGCAUUUCAAACUGGAUAUCUAGAGUGUGGGAGAGGAGAAUGGAAUUCCUAGUGUAGCGGUGAAAUGCGUAGAGAUUAGGAAGAACACCAGUGGCGAAGGCGAUUCUCUGGACCAUAACUGACGCUGAGGCAUGAAAGCGUGGGUAGCAAACAGGAUUAGAAACCCGUGUAGUCCA
rnacentral:rRNA from 1 species